UCAGCGGCAGAGCAUUCGGCUUAUAUCCGAACGGUCCUAGGUUCGAAUCCUAGUGGGAGCACAA
rnacentral:tRNA from 1 species